CAACAAAACAAGUGUUCCUGGAAAGCAAAUCCAUCAGGAUUGCAAGCAUGGGCACGGUAACAACUGUACUGGAUUUAAGCAAAGGCACACAUUGGGGCACUGCGGUGCAGAGGAGAGAUGGGGUCUGCAAGGUCUGGGUGUCACCUUCUGCUUGCAGCUCCCAUUGAGCUGAGCACCAGCAGUGCGUGCUGAGUGCCCAUAUGCAUGUGCUGUAUCUCAGCCAGUGUACACCUCAGCCCUUCUGAGUACGUGUGUUUCUAUCAGCCUGACCUUUUCAAGCUGUCUGUGGGCUGACGGCUGCAAGCCCUGCAGGAUUUUCAGCUGUGGCAGUAAAUAGCUUCUCCUGAUAUGUUUGGAGAGAGUCAGCUUUGGCCUUUUGGUGAUAUGCCAUAAACAGCCAGCAUGCCUCGCUCACGGCAUCCUGAACGGCUUUGCUGGCUUCUUGUGUAUCCUUGGGGGCAGACAGGAGUGAAAACGUAAACCUGAGUGCUGACAGCCCCCGCUGUGCAUGGGAUCCUCCUGUCCUAAUGGCCCCAAAGAGGUAUUAAAGCACGCAAGUCGCACCAGUUUGGGUGUUAAGUGCGUCAUGUCAGAGCUGGGUGACAGCAGCCAGGUGUUGUUUUCCUGUUGAUCUGGUUGUGGUUGAACACAGAAGUAUAGGAGGUAACAAUGUGAAGAGCUCUGUGUCCUUCUGUGAUGUGGUUUGUGGGGCAGCAGCUCUGCCUGGUGCAGUGCGGGAUGCAGCCGGGUGAUGCGAGGGCUGUGCCAGGAACUGAGAAAAUCAACUGCUCUGUUCUGCAUUUGGGACUUCCAACCAUCUACCAAUGUGCUGCCAGGCAGGAGGUCACCUCACGUGGUGAGACAAGCAGAAUCUGCUGACAAAUUGUCCCUGGUGUACCUGCAAAUGUCGGGCACCUCUGCGAAGAUAACCGCCCCCCAUUGCCCACCUCGGCUUUCCUAAUGGCCAAAGGGUGAGAAUAUCAUUCCUUCACUGCUGUUCUUUGCACAGACUAUUACCCUGUGCUAUUGCAGCUCAUGUUACAGCUCCAGCCUCCCGGUGUGAAGCCAAGACUUGUACUAAAUCAUGAAUGGAUAUUAGGCAGGUGGGGUGAAAGCCAGGGCACCUCACAGCGUGCUCCUGCUGGUGCCGCUGCUGCUCUGCUCCGUCCUCCUGCACCCACCGCAGCUCUUCCUCCUCCCCGGGGCUGCAGAUCCUGCAGAGCACCCACGGCUGCUUCCAUUGCCCCUCAGCUCAGGACAUCCGGCCCUCAGAAAGUGCAGAAAGCCCUGAAUUCCUCAUUUUCUUCACGCAAUGAGAAGGGCUUCAGGACUCGGAUUACCCCCAUGAAAUCUCUCCCUGUCCCAAAGCACGUCCUGCGCGCUGGCUGAGGCAGGAGAAGUGUUCCAGUCUCUAUCGAAACCUGCGACUUCCACCACCCCUUUGGUGGCUGGGAAUGGCGCCCAGACAUGAAAUAACGAACUGAAACCCCUCCACGCGUUGACCAAAGAAAACAAGCUGUCAAACAGAAAUAUCCCCUCGCUCCUUUCCGAGGCGGACCCAAUCUCGUUCCCAUCUGCAGGCUGUGCGGCGCUGGGAAGGCAGCAUGAGGAACUCAGCAUGAAAUCGUCAGCGACGGCGUGCGGUGCUGUUUGUGCAGCAUAAAUCAGUCUGGGGAAUGAAGAGCCCCAUCUUCUUUCUCGCAGAAUUAAAAAAGAGGGGCAUCAAUACUAUGGAUAUUUCAAGUCUCCAGAGAGCUCUGCUUCGAAGGAAAGAGACAGCAGAGCGCCUGCAGCAGAACCAAAGCUUCAGCUCACUGAAUUCUCUGCUUUUUCCUCCCACUUCUACAAAACCACCCUUCAGACCACCAUUGCUCCAGCCAUGGAAGCAAUGUAGUGAAGGCCCAUGAGUCCACGUGGGAGCUCAGGCAGGGAGGAGGAGGAGGAGACCCAAGUGGCUGCUUUCUCAGUGCUGAGGAUGAUGUGCCCUGCUGCCAUGUGCCAACACCUGCACUGGGCUCCUCCGUCUCCCAUGGGGGUCUCAGCACUGUGAAUCACCACAGCCAUCCCUGCACCACAUCCUCCAGACAGAGCCACGCUGCAGCUCAGGGCAUUCCAUGAAGAAAUUGCUUUCUCAUGACUAAAUGUCAGCAUAGAGAAUGAAUGAAGAAAGACCACAAAUUUACUUAAAAUCUGCAACCGACUCCUCAGCGCAGAGGAAAGACUGGCAUCAGUGUCAUGUCCUGAAGCAGUGUCAUGUCCUGAAGCAGAUGCAGGAAGAACAAUUACUUGUGUUCACAGUAUCCUUAAGGUUGGAAAAGACCACCAGCAUCAUCUAACCCAACCGUGUAGGGGCAGUCUGCUCAGACACAUCUCUUGUCUAAGAGCUUCCAACUUACUGCAGUUUCCUUAUCCUCGUGCCUAAGGGACAGCACCAGGGACACCAAGGCACACAGUCCUUGUAGGCAUGGCUGGCUGCCAGCCACCCUUGUUCUCUGGUUAAUAGAGGAGCACAUGGAACCGUUGUAGGUAACAUGACCACUGCACAAUCCCGUCAUAGCCAGAAAUGUUUCAGCUGCAUCACUGCUAUAUAUUUUCUUUCCUGCAGCAUCUUAUUUGCCCUUGGUUGUAAGAGGACUGAGCUGAUGUUAGCAUUGUUUUCAAUUCUUCAGCAAAAAUAUUGGUGUUUUUCUUAAGAAAAAGGCAUGAGUGGACGAUGUAGUUUUGACUGAUCUGAUAAUAAGUAUAGGAGAAAGCACUCGGUGUGGUUGCAUUGCCCUUUUGUCCUGGGCUGCAGAUGGUCAGUGAAGCUGUGCUCACCCCUCCCAGGUGCUAACACUCAGCCUCUGCUGGGCAGAUGAAGCACAGCUGGGUAAUGAGCAGGUCCUGAUGGGCAGUGUUUGUUGGCCUGUGAACCUACCUUGCCUAUUUAGGGACCUGACCCAAACCUGGGAGCUCAGAAACGUGGUGCUCUCAGCUGUAGCCAUUCCUCUUCUUUAAAUUCAGUAGGCGUGCCUUUGCCACCAGCAGCAUCCUUGGAUUCCAGGCACCAUUCACAUCCUGCUGUUUGGGAAAUGGUCAUUGCCACCAGUCUGGGAAGAAUGUAUUUCUGCCCUUCUGAUAACCCACCAGAGGUCCCCUGAGGGCUGGGAUUCACGUUGCUUUCUGCCCUGAGGCUGUAAGAAACAGCAGUUUGGUGAUUUCCUUGGCUCUGUGUUGCUUGCCACUGGACCAGCUGGCACUGGAUGAAAGAGAGUGGCUGCACAUCUUCCUGCUCCUGGUGGUUGGGACUGUUAAAAGUCAGCCCUGUGCCACGGGUUGCCCCAGCUCUUCAGGUGAUAACCUGCUUCAGCAGCAGCUGUGCACAGAAUUUAUUGGGCUGCAGCUGGGAAUCUUUCUCUUUGAUCCAUCUCUGCUAUUAAACAGCUUGUGAUAACGCCACUGAGCUCACAUCGAGGAGGGGAAGCCGAGCAACCUCAAUAUUGGAGCUGAGCAGCAGUGGGGUGCCCAUCUUAAAGCUGCAUCACCUCACUGUCUUCAAAAGCAAAGGAGCUCCUUUUAUAGCAGCGAGCUGCUCUCCAGGAAUGAUUAAAGUCUCGUAAACGAGCACCUUCCUCAUCACAGAGCUGUCUGCUGACGGGGUGCCAAGUACAACAAGCCCAAUCCAAAGCAUCAUCCCCUCCAUGGGGCUAAUUGUUGUUGCCUUGUCUCUUGAACAAGAAGAGUGGUAAGGGAAAGCAGAGCCUGGAGACACACGCACAUCCCUGUACAGAAAUAACCCCUGAAAUAGAACUGACAAGCAAUUGAGGAGUCGGCCUGUGGGCUGCAGACAAAGCACAGAGCAAAGGAGAUAACCGGCAGUGAGCACUGGGAAAUAAUGCCCUAAAUUCCCUCUGAGCCCAUUCAUCACCGUGGCUUCGGCGAUCAUCUCAGCAACAAAUUCCCCUAUCAUCCAGCUGGAAUUCGAUGUUAAUGACCUGUCUGUUAUUUCAGGGGGAGAUGGACUGGAACCGGUGGGUAAUUGGUAGGAAAAAUCGCCGGGUACAGCAAAGAGCUGAUGCUACUGGAGUCGUUACACCACGAGAGAGGGAGAUUAGGGAGCUCUGCUUACCACAAGGGGCUUAUUCAUCCUGAAUAAAUGCGUUAGCUGCCCAGAGCUGUCCUCUUAUGCCCUUGUUCCUGUCUGGUGGCAUCUCCCCACCACAGCUUUUCCCAGCAAACAGCAGAGAUGCAGCCCAGAAGAAGCUGCUAGAAUCAUAGAACACCCAGAGCUGGAAGGGACCCAUAAGGAUCAUCGAGUCCAACUGCUGCUGUUGAGACAAUCACAGUAAGGAAUAACCUGCUCUCUCCAAGCUCACACUGAUGUAUGCGUUUAUUCUGGAGUUCUCUCAGGAAAGACCAUAAUUACUCUAAUUUCUUAAUUACCGAAAUUAUUCAGAAUGACUCUGCAAACACCUCUGCCCUGCAACGUUUUGCACGAGCAGCCUCCCAGAUUGCAGCAGCGUUAGGAUUUGGGUUUGUUCCUCUGCUGGAAGGAUUUGCUGCGUUCAUUGCCAUUUCUCCUUGCCAUCACGUUAGCGGGGCAGCCUGCAGCCCUCACCAAAAAUAGGAUAACUGGAGAGCAUCAGGGGAGAGCUAGAAGCAAGUCCAGAGGUAAAGCCUUGGCUCUGUUGCAAAGGAUAGCUUUGCUGGGACUUGAUGUCUGUGCUUUUUCUCAACAGUUUCUCAUUCCCAUCUUGCUAACGGGACCAGCACCAGUCAUGUUUCGGUGAGCACACCUGCUUUAUAAAUUAGCUCCCAGGAGUAUUUGCAAAAACAGAGCUGAACUGCAUGGCCACGGGACUGGGUUUGCUGCAGAAAUACCAGCACGUAUUCAUAAUAAAGCAGCUGCACGCUUUGCCCAGCUCUGUCUGUAACUUCUCGUCAUGUCCUGUACCUUUCUGGGCAGAAAGAAUGGGUGGUAGUGGUGGGAAAAUUGCAAAAUCCUCCUUGGCUAGAUGAAGCAAUUAUUUUUGAUGCAGAUGGGGCUGCUUUUAACCCUACGUAUUCCAAACAUCUCUGUAUAACCCUAUGGGUUCUCCACCGUUGUAGGCAGUGAUGGAGAAGGAAAAAAAUGGGUGAGUAGGAUUUAACACCCAGCCAGAACUGAACUGUACAACACCCGACUGCAGAAGGGUUGGUUCUAUGCCCUUUAUGCACAGUAGGCACCGCUGCUGCCUGUCCCCAGCAUGGCACGAGUUGGGGACCAUGAGUGGUGAGGACCUCUUGUGGUGCCUCUCCCUGAGCUGCAGGCACAAAGGUUGGAUUUCUUCCCUAUGGCUGCGUGAAGAGCUGCUGACUGCUCCACCAGGAACUGAGGCAAUAAUCCCAGCUUGUUGUUCUCCUUCUCAUGGGAGACUUCUUGUGCAAAAGAAGCAUCAGUAGAAUGAAUCAAACGCUGCGGUAGUGGCCCCAUUCCCACGUGCUCUGUGUGCUCUUCCUCUCGACUCACCGGUGAGGAGGCGGUAUCAUGGGGAGGCUGUUCUGAAAAUGCUUUUAAUUGAUUUAAUUCAUAGCUGUGUUGGAGCAGGAAGGUGUUCCUUCCUUGUGCCCGGGAAUGGCAGAAUGUCCUCCAGCUGCCCCCAGAGAUGCAGCGCUGUGCCUGGGUAGCACUGUCUUGCUGCUGGCCAUCCAUGCCAAGCCUGGGAAUGAAAGCUUUGGCAACAGCCUGGACCAAGCUCUGGUAUCUUCCUUAUCGAGAAGCAUGCUGAUUACUGCAGACAAAUUGGAGAUGAACUUGCCUCUAGAGCCCAACGUGUUUGUGAAAUGAAUUGCAGUUACAUGGGGAUUUAUUAUUUCUGCAAAAGAGGCUUUCUUAUCAUGAUUUUUCCUUCCAUCUUGGACUCAUCGCUACCAGACCAGGAACCUUCAAACAGAUGUGUUUGGAGCCUUGAUGUGGGCUCACAGUGGCUGGGAAUCUUCUUGUUAUUCCUACGAAAAACAGACUCCAGCUGGAGGGGAAGAAGAGCCUCCAGCAUUAGAGAUGACCUAAACAGCACAUGUUGCAAAUGAGAUGGGAAGUGGAGAACUGCUUGAAACAUCUCUGGCCCUUUCAGCAGAACUGUUUUCCCUUUGCCUUCUCAAGGCUGAGCUGCAGACAUUGCAAGAAUGACCCCAGCAGACUGCUGCUGUUUCUGUUUUGCAUGUUCACAAGGCAGCUUCUGAAAUAAGUUUGCACACUGUUGAUCUUGCACUGGACAGCCUCACAUCAGGUGGCAGGGAAGCCCUUGCUCAUGCUGCCCUGACCCUGCUGCUCUUACUUCCCAUGCUGAUGCAUCAGUGCAUGAUGUGGCUGGAAAUGAGGUGGUGCAGGGUGGUCUCCUUGGGUUUUGCAGCUGAAAUAGGUUACUGAGCUCCUGAAGGCAUCCACCAGGAUUGCUAUGGCCUGGAACAGCCCUAGGAAAGAUGCUCUGCUUCAAGCUGGGGUUGUGCUGGUGGUGGGAGCUGGGGAUUUCAAAUCUUCCUACAGUUGGAUAUUUCAACCAAUGGCAUAAAUAAUGGAAAGCCUUCCAAAAGAAUGCCAUCCUAAGGGCUGUUCCCCUAAGAAGAAAUGCAGGUCAGGAAAUACAUUGGCCAUAUGAGUUUGUGAGUCCUUUCAAUUGUGAACAGUGCACUAAUCAAGGUUUGGCUAAUGGGUAUGCUGGGAUAUGCACACAGAUAUGCUCUUCUUUUGAGUCUUUCUCUUUACCUUUCAACCCCUGAAAUCAUCCAAGCUGCUAACACUCUGAGGAGGAUGAUGCAGCAAAAAUAAUAGGUUUAGCAAGAAGCAGAAAAAUGAGAUUAGCAUCUGUUUUUCUGGGAAAAAUAUCAACUUUUCCUGCUUAGAAAAUGAAUGGGUUGGAAACCAGCUUGUAAAACUCGAAGCCUGACUCAGGCACUGAUUUGUCACGGGGCUGUCACCUGCAGUCACUGUUAGAGAGGAGCCCUCAAUGUUCUGUCCAAAAGGAACGAUUGCUGUCUGAGUUAUUGAUGGAUUCGUAUGUGGGGAAGAGCAAAUCCUGGUCAAGCUGGAGGACUUUUGCACACAUUCAGCAGCGAGUGAGUAAAGUUAGUGGAAUACAGAACCAUCCCUGCUCGCUGCAGAGCAGCCCCCAAGGAGCACAGUGAUAAAUGAAUUGCAGAAAGCUUGGAGCUUCAACUCGGCCAGGGGAAAUAACGCUGUGUCUAUCUGAUCUCUGCAAACCUGGCUUUCCACUUAUGUGCCUGAUGAUAAAUCAGCAGUAAAUGUGCUUAGGUUGGCACGCCAAGUUUUUCCCUGGAUGCUGUUCUGUAGGCACGCACUUUCUUCACCACAAGAGUCCAGAUCUGGUGCAGAAACCACAAGCGUGGUACAGGCAGGCGGCAUCCCAUCCCAACACCGUUGCAUUGCCCUUGGCCUGCCAGCCAGAGCCAGCCCAGCACAGCCAUGAGAGAAGGAUGGCAGGCGCUCCAGGAGGACCUCUUCAAACUGCAGAGAAGGUCUGAUUUUGAAACUGGGGCAAAAGUUGAAAUAGGAUUUAAUUUUAUCUCAAUUGAUUCAUCUGUCCCUAAUUAGAAAUAGCUUCCUAAUGCAUGACGUAAGGAUACGAGGAGGGUUGUUUUUUUUUAAUGAAUGACUCUUGGCUGAGAUGAAAAUAUUGCUGUUCUCAGAUAGUUCUUUUUAUAUGCCAAUAGAGAUUUGUGCAGUCUAAGAUGAAAAAUACAUGAGAUCCUGCAGUCACACACGCUGCAGACUAAACUCUUACAGAUUAUAGAUCCUGUCUCAUUCCCAUUUUGUACAUCCCAUUUUAGUAUCUGCAUUUGCUUUUACUGAGAGAGGAGCCUCAGUCUCCCAGAAUUGCAGUGUGUGAUGCUGUGCAGGGAUGGAGCAAAAACUGAUCCUUACACCCAAGGCAGUUUCUCAUGGGAACAGUGUGAAAUUGCCCAUUUUUCUAUUUUCAGGGUGAAAGUUGUGCCUGCUUUGCCUUAUUUUCUCUUUCUGUCCUCUUCCCCGUUUCUUCUCUCCUUCCUGCCCGUGGGUCAAGGGCUGGAAGUAAAGCUGAAGUUGCGUGGCAGGAUGCAGGAGGCGGAGCAGUGCAUUGAGUUGCAUGACGCCAGGCAGCAGGAGGUGUGGGCUGCCCACUACCUGUUCCUGGACAGCAUGGCCAGGAGAUGGAGAUAAUCCCUCUCACCUCAUAGUGCACUGCUCUUCCACAUCAUUCCCCUGCUCCUACUCAUACCUCCUCAUGCCAUCCAACAUAUUUCGUCCCAAUCCUUUGCCUUCACACCCUUGAAACCCUUCCAGGCUGCUAUAGUGUCCCUUUCUCCAACUCACCUCUCCAAACCAAGCCAUACCCCCAGGCUCCAGUCCCAUCCCAUAAAUCAGUCUCUCCAAGGCCCUGACCGUAUUCUGAGAUUUCCAGGGGCUGUGCGGCUCCUCCUGGGCUCACAUCUCUUCUCCCUGCAACAAUAAAAGGCUGGAGACACGCAGCGGGGUGAGGCUCGGGUUUCUGGGCUCGUUUUAUAACUGGUGCUGGGGAUGCUUUGCGCGGAGCCCUCCAUGCGGUGAGGAAGCGGGGCAGGACAUGUCGAGCAGAUGGCAAUUCUGGACUGCAGAUGAGGGCUGAGUUAUGGCGCUCGCAGCACAUCUUUGAUACACGUCCAGCUUUUAUCAGAUGGUUCCACUCAGUGUUUGGCACAGCUGAUGUGAAGGGAAGGCCGAGGAGCAGACCUGCAGUGGGAGCAGCCCCCCAUCCCUAGGGCUGUCCCCCUCUGUGCGCUGAGCUGGGACUUCCCCUGCUUCUCCCACUCCUCCGGUACUGACACAGCUUUAUCCUGCAUACAAAACUGCUGAUAUGCUUAAAGCUCCCCUAGGCUGCACAGGCUCUUCUCCCUUUGCCACAUCAGCGCGUGUUGCAAGCAGCUGGGAGGAUGGAGAGCAUGUGAGCAUUUCUUGGAGCUAGAAGGCUCCGCUCCUCGGGUUUUGGCUUCAGAUGACCCACUCUUCUAAUACACUCUGCACUUAAUUCACUCUUGCCAGUGCAAAUGCUCUUAUUUAUGAGGUUGGUAAUCACUUUCUAUCAACACGCUCUGGAAGUCUGCUUCACCCACAGAACAUUCCUUCAAUAAAUCCUCCCCAUGAAUAUUCCCAGCCCAAGCUGAGCCCAACGCCUACUUGUGGUGUAGGAGAUGCUUUCAAAGGACUCUCACUGAGUUGGGUUGGCUUAAAGCACACCUCAAGCCUUGAUGCAAGUGGACCCAGGUAAGCUCACAAGAAGGAAACCCAAGCCUUUCCCAAACUCCUUGGAAACACUGAGUUUGGUGUCUUCUUCCUCCUUAACUUAAAAGCCAAGAAAUGUCUGUGCAGGAGAAUCAAUCACAUCACAAAGGAACCUUCUGGAUCCCAUGAAUGCCCAUUCUUUAAGCCUUAGAAUUUUACCCAUCCCCCUUUCAGGAGGGAAUGCAGAUAUGUUUUCCAUUGGAAAUAUCCCCAGGGUCUCAUGCCUCAUGCUGAGCAGCAAUCCCUGUGUCAAUUAAAAUGUGUUAUUCUGUUGAGCUCACCCUUGGGUCGAGCCAUAGGGCAGCAGAGGUCCAUGCCAGGACAGCGCCAAUGAACACAGAAUGGAGCAUCUUUAGCUCAGAGCUUUCUGCUCUGUAUCUUUCAGCUCCUUCAUGGACCAACCAGAGCCCAUAUUGAUGCCAUUUACUCAGCUGUCAAGUGGGUUUUUUAUCCUAAUGCUCCACGGUGGGGAAAUAGGAACCUGCAAUGAACUUGCUUCAAAUCGAGACAUAUUUAACUCGAAUAAACCAGCGGCCGGGCUGAAUAAACACUGCAGGCACUUCAGAAAGGAUGUUAAGUUGACAUAAGAUCUGUUGGGUGAGUUCAAGAAAUGGGAGAUUUGAUGCUGAAGUCAUAAAUCUGCUGGGUUAAAAGGGGGAUACUGCUGAGCUCUGCAUCUCAGUGAGAGACAAAGGCAGGAUGUUUGCUGUCCCAGUCUGUGGGCAGCAGGUUUCUGUCCUAUGGCAGCUGCUGAGGAGUGUGGGCUUCAUCUCCACCGCUCUCUUCAAAGCCGAGCAGGUUUUGCUGACAAAAGCUGGCACACGGACAUCAUGAAGAGCAAUGAAGAGCAGGGCUGCUGUGCCAGUGUUGCUGGUUCCAGCUGGGACAGCCCCAUGAGUUGCUGGGAGCUGAGGCAGCACUGAGCCCCUUGGCUCUCCGGAGGCACUGUGGCAGGGAAACAGCUCUCUGUGUCCUUUUCCAAAGCACAAGGAUAUGGGUGCAGCUGCAGAAACACGUAUUGCCCUCAGACUGUACUCUGCAUGGAGCACCCGCUGGUACCCCAUCUCUGAAGGCACACUUGGGAGCCUGAAACUGCAUUUGGCCCCAAUCUGAGUAGAGCAAAAUCGUGUGCAGUACUGAAGUCCCAUUUAAUUUCUUAGAGUUGUUGCAAUGCUCCUAGGGUUGGCACAACUCAGGCUGAGUGGAAAGGAAGGUAUGGAUGUGGCUACGGUUUCUGCCUCCAGCUCCAGCUCUCAGGUCUUGAGGAAGAAGGUUAUGCUUCCUCUGUCCAGUGUGAUGCAUCUGGGGCUGCUCUGAGCAGAACACGCGCCACGUCCCUGUGUGUUCGCUGCCGGAGGGACUCAGUGGGUCAAGGGGUGAGAGCUUACCCCAGCCUGAGCUGAAGGAUCGCAGAUGUUUCAUAUUUCUGCUCCAAAGAGAGGGAGAGAGAAGCUGCAGAGAAGACUGCAAUAUUUUUUUUCAAUACAUUCCAUAUGUUUCCUCCAUAAGUCAUGAUUAAAAAGUGGUGCUGGUCCAAAUAGAAAUAAGCCUGCAGGCUUUUCUGCUGCUUUUGGAGGAAGAAGCAGACUCAGUCUGAUUCACCCCUAAGGGGAGAAGGGCUCUGAGCUGACUUGAGAACACGUUUCCAUUGGACUUGUCAUCCACGCUGUCCCUGCUCCCAGCAUUGCUGUUGUCUUGGCAAGAAGCACUUCUCAGCCCUGGCUCCAGCUUCCUGGUGGAAUACACCAAAUACUUGUCCCCAGGUGCCUGACAUCAAUGCAGGGUGCACAACCCAUUGUUACGGGACCAGAACACACAGGGACUGCAAAUGACUUAUUUCCUUGCUACCAUUUCCACUCUGCUCGCUGAGGUCCAAACACUGCAGAAAAAAAUGGCAGGUUCGGAGGGAGGAGGAAAACCCAGCACCCACGAGGGGAAGGAAUUUGCUCUCUCCAAAAGGCCACGCUUGGUAUAAUUAUGCCAGCCAAACGUGCACAGAAGCCUUCAGCAAUUCCUGUGGUAAUCGUUUCAUAUGUGUGGGAUUUUUUAGGCUGGAGCAUAAUUACGGCUAAUUGCUGUUUGAUUUUGUUCCUGUUUAUAUAGCCAGUAAGGGAGUCGUUGAAAUGUCUUUACUGAAAGACUUUCUCCCUUCCUUUUCCUUCUCUUUUUCUUAAAUCAUCCUGGAAAAGAAAAGAAGGGAUCGUGUUGCAACACGGUGAGUUGUGAAUGGCCAUCAGCUGUCCAACAUCUCACAGCAAAGAGCCACGUUCAGGACUGAUGUUUUCCCAGCACUGGGAACUGAUGGUGCGCUGAUUUGCAGAACUAACGAGGACUUGCAAAGAUCUUGGCUGUUGGUUAAUGAAACCCUCCUGGGCAGGAGGCUGAGGCUGAAUUUAUCUGGGGAGAUGGGAGGAUCUGGACUGCUUCUUGCAGUCUGUUCACUAGAGCCCACGGAGAGAGAAGUGGAGCUGGUGGGGCUCAGCACAGCUCCACCACCAGGAGCUCCUCUUGGCAUGGCCAUUGCCUUUGUCAUGCCUGGUUAUCUUUUCUCAGCCCUGGUUCUUAACAUAGUUGUCCCACAGCAUGACUCAAUGGGAAUUAGGCAUCAAGUUUGCUCUGAAUGUUGGGAGUUUCCAUGUUCAGAUGGCCUGCAGUGAAGCCAGAAGCCAGAUGAUCCCUACAUCGACCCAUCCAAACAGACCUAUAUGUCUUUGAGGCUUUACUUUUCUUUUGGAAAAUUGGCUGUAUGUUUGGGUGCUUGCGCUCACGUUGCCUUUAAACGCAUCCUACCUCACUUGAAUGCAAUGUUCCUCCAGAUGGAGGAGAGUCAGCAGCUCACGGAGGCUGUGAUAUUCUCAUUCCUGAGCACUGCAUCCUUCAGAGGGGACCGAGAACACACGAAAACUCUCUUGGCUGUGGUCAGCCCUCAGCAGCUGCCCCAGCCCCGUGCCAGACACACGCUGGAUUAGAGGGUGCAGGGUGCUGUUGCUAUGGGACAAGGUGGAGGGAGCAGGCAGGUGCCACUCGUAGCCCUCUGCUAUGGAGAAUGCAGAUCUUGUUUGCUCUGCUUUUUUUUUCUUCUUCUUUUUUUCCAUUUUAAUGCUCUUUCUAUCUGGCUUCUGCCUCUGCUCCAGGAAGCCAAAUUAGCUCAUGGUCUGAGGCUCCAGCACUGAAUAUAAGCAGAAGCAAGCUGACAUCAGCUUGAAAUAGAAGCAGUAAUAGAGCUGUUUACUGUCAUGUUUCACUUUGACGAUUCAAAGGAGCAGGAAACAAUCCCAGGGCAUUGGGCACUCACACAGCCACCAAAAGCGCAUCCCUGAACCCAACUGAAUCCAUCACAAAGGCUCGGGAGCAGCAAAGUGGGGGGAGUUUUAGUGCAAGCGUGCCCAGAACACUUUAAAAUCCAUCAGAUUCUUUGCCCAAACACCAUCUCUGUGUGCUCUGAACCAACAGAGCCAGGAAUCUGGUAAACCAAGCACUUUGGCUGUGCCUGGGCUGUAGCCACACAAGUGUAAGACAUCACCUACAUCCUUCACAUGGUGUUAAUUAACAGCUAUGUAUGGGGCUGUGCUUCUCAGCCUGACCGAAAGCUGGAAGCCCAAGUCUCGAAUUCUCCCGGCCAGGAUGCAGCAUUUGCUCAGGGAAUACCAAAGAAAGAUGGAAAAGCAGCCCCACAGCUGCCUGCUUGUGCCUUGGGCAGAGCCCUUGUGGCUGCUGGUUGUCUCUGGAAGCUGCUGCCUCCCCCUGGCACUGCACUCUGCAUGGUAUGGAGUGUAUUUUUAACUAGGAAGAUAAUGAGACAGUGGCAGCUCCUCCCUGCAAUUCUGUGUUUGGAAAAUUUCAGCCACGGUGCUUGCAGGUUAAAUAGCAGGCAGAAGGAGAAUGAGCUCUUGAUUAAAAUAUGUCUAGACAGCCUUCUGUGUUUUUAAGUCCUAAUUUAGAGGACCGAGGUAGGAAGGGAUUUACAUCAUUUCCAACAUCUGACCCGUUGUUUCUGAUGGUGGUAAGACAGCUGGCACAGUCAGCCCUCUCUUUUACCUGCAGUCUCAGGACAUUCAGUGACUGCAGCCACGUGUGUGGCUAUGGAAGAACUCUUCUUUUGUGACAACAGGAAAUACUCAUUUCUAAUGGUCGCAGAGCAAGUGAGACCCAUAUGAACGAUAUUAAGUUUGGCGUUCCAAGCCAUCUCAUGACUUUGAAGGCUUAGUCUAGGCCUUGGGCACACAUAUACUCCACUGCAAUUAUCACUGGCACUUGGCUUGAUUUGGAAAUCAAGCUCCAUAAGAGUCCUGUCACUAAAAGCUGUCUCUGAGCCUGCAGUUUCCAACCACCACCAACACAGCUCUGACAAUCAGCUCCAGUGCUUUCAGCAUUUGCACCACUCAGCCAUGCAUUUGGCUCCAAGGGCUCAAAGCGACGCGAGCUCACUGUCAGACGCAGUGUGAUGGAAGGGCUCUACAGCUGUUGCCCUCACAUUUGAUAGCCAGUGUUGGCUUUGUUGGGAAAAGAGGAACUGAAACUCUUCAGACUCUACCAAAAACAAGAAGCGACAUUUGGGUGUAUUUUGAAGAAAUACAGAGAAAAGAGGUACUGGACUGUUUGGGCACCAAAUUGCUUCUGCCAAAAUGUAUAUGUCCUGUGGCAGCAGAUUGCAGUGCCACGAGGCAGGGAGCUGCUGGGCAGAGCUGUGUGCUGGACCACGGGCAGCAGGUUUCCACAGGGCUGCUUGGAAGGGCUCUGGGGAACCGAAGCAAGGAGAAGGAAGGGAGACACCAACCGAGUAAAGAUUGACUCAGAAUGAACCCCCAGAAGGGCUCUAAGUGCAACACUGCAGGACCUUCUUGACCCUUUGCAAUUGUUGCCGUGACCAGAUGCAUUGAAAAGGUGACAGGGUAAGAAAAGUGAAGACUUUGGAUUUGAAAUGAUUUGGAUUCCGUUAGCUUCAGUGCCUCCUUCUUCAGAAGGACUCCAUCCUCUGAGUGUGUAAGCAGGAUCAGGGUGAGGAUGGCACUGUGCAUCUGGAAUAGCACUUCACAGUGGUUCUGUGGGGGCGGUGGGACUUGGAAACUUAAUGAGAAACACAAGCUUGCAGAAAGGGGGUGGGAAACCGGGUUAGAGAUACAGCAGGGCGGUUUGCAUUCAGAUCGCGGGAACUGAGUAAGUUUCUGAGCUAGAGAUGUUGUCAGCUCCUUAAUGACUUAUCCAUCCAUCGCCCAUUACGUUGGGUCCGAUGCAUUUAAGAUGUGAGUCACUGCUCCAACCCUCACAGGGUGACAGGACCCGGGGGAGCACAUGAGAGGUGCUCAUUCUGUGGGUGGCUGCUCUGAGCUCUGUCUGUGUCAUCACAACGGGAUCAUUCUAAACCAACAGAACCCCAGUGUGUUGCUACGGGCAGGGCAGCCCAGGCCAUUAGGCAGGGCUUUAUUUUUGGAUCUGGGUCUUGCUUUCAAGCUUUCAGCAUCCUACACUUCUUUCAGCUGGGGAUGGUCCCAUUUCCAAGAGGGGAGCUCAUUUGAGAGGCAGACAGUCUUCCCAUAGCCAUUGCCACUUGGCUGUCUGCAUACUUCAGCCCAUCACUCUCCCUGCUCCCAGUGAGCAUCUCUGUCAUCUGAAAGCUCAGAAAUCAAACUUUGAACUGAAUAAAAGCCCCUCCCCCUCCAACAUUGACUGAAAUACUCUUUAAAAACAAAUCCUUAUAUAUUCUAAACUCAAAAACAUCUGGGUUUCCAAGCCCCAGGAAAUUACAGCUCCCAUUCUGGAAAUAAAAUACAUGUUUGUCCAUAGAUUGCAUUAAUUAAACCCCAUAAUAUGGAAAGAAGCCGGUAAAAUUCUUUCCUGAUGGCUGGCAGAUUUGCAUAGCAAUUUCUCAUAUUGCUCAUUGCAAUUAUUAUUCUUAUUUAAAGGGUGACGUUUUCCUCCAUGUCAGUGCAGGAUAGGAAGAUCAAGAUCUCUCUCAGUGACCAAGGGAGAAGAGCUUUUGGUCCACGUGCGUGUCUUGCAGUGGGGGAUCCCAAAUGAAGCCCCGAGUCCUGCAGCUCCUGGAAAUGCCACAUCAGAAACAUUCCUGCUACUGGGAAAAACACUUUGAAGACCGGGAAAACUGCAGACUUCAGUUGUUCUUUGUGGCUUCUGCAAUUUUUUCCUGGUGAGGUACAUUGCACGGAAAACCGUCGUGCCCGAUGUGGUCAGCAUUCUUAUUUACCAUAAGCAGAGCAGUUACACAUUGUUAAAUUAUUAUUAGCUUAGCUACCACUGGGAGGGUUGCCUCAGCCCUGCCAGCAGGGCUGAAACAAAUACCCACUGUUGCACACAGUCAACCAGCAAUGAGUUGCAUGGAUGCCCAGAACGUGUCUUGCUGCAGAGCUGUCCCCCCAGGCAGCAGCCCUUGAGGAACACAGGCUGAGCUGGGAUCUCUUGCAAUGGGAUGGGUUGAACGUGUGGAUGCUUUGGAGCUGAAUCUGAAUGUUCUCAGUGUGAGCCUUCGUUCACCCGUUGUGUCAGCCCAUCCAAAGCUGAAGAAUUCACUGCCAAAGGAAAUCUGGAGCUAAAUUCUCAAUUCCAAGCUCUGACGCUGGCAAUAUUUGCACCAAGAAACCUGACAAAAUUCAGGAAGUUUUUUAUGGCCGAUUCUUUCUGCCUGGAUAGAGCUCAUGCCAACAACAAUAUCAGCUCUGUGAAAGAAUUUUAUGGUGUUUUGCUGUGCCUGUGCCAUGGGAAAAAGGGGCAAGGAUGGACUUUACGGGGUGUUUGUAGAAGGACGAAGCACAUCGUCCUCACCCAAAGGGCAGCCAUCAAAGCAAAGCUGUGGCAGCAGGCAGUUCUUCUGCUCAGCCUGAACGUGCAGGGAGCAUCCCAUGGCUGGGAGGUGACUGCAGCCUCCACAGCACUGCUGUAGGCAGACAGCUGAGACGUGGCAUUCUGCACAAACCAGUGGCUGACUCCAGGCUGGGCCGCGUCCCCCAUCCCAGCACCUCAACACUGACCCCCCCAGGAUUGCUCAGCAAUUAACUGUGUGCUCCAUGGGUGAAAUGCGUGAAGUCUUGUGACAGCCACCUCGUCCCACAAGGCAGGGGGUGCUGAGAAAGACAAAACAACCCGCUCCCUCUCCUCUCUCAUUAAAGCAAAUGUCAUCGGCUGUGAUCAGCCUCUGUGUACAUGCACACAGCCAGCAGGAGAAAAUCAAACAUCAAAAGGGAAAGAAAAGAAAAAGAGACCCGAACAGGAUAUUGACAUCAUUGGGAGCUCUGCGAAUGGAGAUGAAAUGUAAAAUGAAGUUGCAAUCUGGCUGAUAGAAGUUGAGGACACGUUAACCCUUGGGCAGACCCGCUGCUUGCAGGGGUGGGAGGAGAGCUGCUUCCAUGGGCACCUGGGCUGCGAUUUGCUCUGGAAUGUGGGAGGAAUCUGACACCCAAAUUGCUUGGGAAGUUGGACACGUCCUGCCAUGGGCUGCUCGGGAAUUGCCAGUUCUCAUUAAUCUCUGCUGUGGAUCUGACAAGUCAGCUGGAGGGAAAUGGUUCAUUUCAUUUUCUUCUCAUCGAGAUUUUCCCACCGCUCUUUCCCUCCCCGUCUGUCCCACUGAUGAGGCAAGAAAAGGAUGACAAAGCAGAAAGCGAGGGAAGAUGCAGGGUGAACGUUUCCGCCGGGAUGUUUAAUGAUGAGAAAGGAAAGAAAGCACCAAAAGAAGUUCCUGACGGAAAAUUCCUCGCAGCUUUCAUGUCACAGCCCCUGACCUUCAGCUGCCCAUAAACACCCUGCAGCCACCCCCAGCACGUUCCCAGCAGCCCGGUGGGGCUCUGCAUUGAGCCACCCUUCCACCAGCAAAGCUCAGACUGGGAAUUCAAACCCCAAAUCCGGCUGUGGGGUGCCAGCAGCCAAACACAGCCUGGUUCAGCACCCCGUGCUCUGGUACCCCAAGGGGCCAUCAUUCACCACCACAUGUGAUGUGUGGUGUGGGCACACACCUUCAGAAACCCUCAAAACCAAAUAAGAUAUCACUGUCGAUAGGAGUUCUGUGAAUAGAGAUGAGGUAUAAAAUCGAAACAAGUAUUUCCUUAUGGUCUUUUUUGUUUAUUUACUUGGGGAAAUAACCAUGCACGGAGCUGGCAUUAAGGACUGGCUUUUCAGGCACAUUUUUAGCUAACAGAAUAAAGGGAUUUAUUUCUGCAGUGAAGAAACAGAGGAAUAACUUGUAAAGGCACUGUAAUUCCAUCCAUUUGGAGCUGACUGUAGCUCUGAAGCAGCCGCAGAUAACUUAAGAUGUUGCAAGUUCAGAAGGGAUUUUUAUCUCUCUGUUUGGAGAAGCAUCGCCUUGACUUCAUCGGCACAAUCUCAGUGUGAGGCUGUAGUUUAAAUAACAGGAAGGAAGAGCGGCUGCCCCGGGUCCAAGUUUGCCCCAGGAUUUGGGAUAAAGGCCGGGCUGCCAAGCAGGGGGUCCCAAACCCCAUAGCAGCCCCAUCCCACGUGCUCUGGGGCUAUGGAGGGAUGCGGGGGACGGUUGGAUCAGAACAUCGCUGCCAUCCAGGGGAUCUGGGCAUGAAGUGUACAGGGAAGCCCUGAUGGAAGAAAACAGAGCAAUGCCAUGCUGAGCUUCCCAGAGCAGAGCAGGGUGAGCAGGUCCUGGCCCUGUGCUGCAGCCCCACUCAGACCAGUCUAUGUCUCGGUCGCUGUCUGCUCCCUGUGCCAGCUGUUAACCAGCACCACUUGCUCGGCCUGAGCUGACCCAGCCAAUACCUGGAAUUAAUGAAACAAAAAGGCCAUGAAGCAAGGAGCUGUUGUUACCUAAUGUGUCUCAUCCCCUGAGCAACGUGUCCAUCAGCACGGUGCUGCGCAUCAGGAGGGGAAGGCGAUUUGGGUGCCUCGCUGUGUGCUCAGCAGCUCGGAUCCCCUCUGCUGCUUCACCUUUCUAACCUGCAUCUCUUCUGCUGUUUUUAUAGAAACAGCCUCAAUUAUUCCCACCCUGUUCUAGCAGGCCUAGGGCCAAGCUGCUUAGCUGCAGGUUUUCCUGCUCGUGAACAGCAAGCAACACCUAUCCACGCAAUGCAGAAGAAGCAUCCCAGUGGGUUUGCAUUUGCACUUUGCUAAAGACAGUGCUUUUGGGGCUGAAUUUCACCCAGGAGAGGCAGCAGGAGACUCUGCAGUGCUCAGCACCGGGCAGGAUCGGGGCUGCACAUCACUCUGCCACUCAGCCCUGGGAUCCCAUCUGUGGGAUAGCAUAGGGCCGGUGACACGGGACUUAUGGAGCUGUGUGUUUCAACAUACAUUUUCCAAAAGCUAUUUCAUACGUUCCAUCACGCCGAGUAAUGCGCUGGAAACCAUCCAGGCUUGGGGAUGUUUCUGUAAACGCAUCAUCUCUGCCCUUCCACUGCUUUUGCUGUGAGCAGAGGGGACCCGGUGCUCCCCCCUCCUGCUGUGGGAGCUGGGGAUGCUGCGAGGACCUCUCUGCUCCUUUGCAGUGCAGCCCUUCGUUUUCACUCUGCUUUCACAGCAGCGUUUCAUAUGGUCUGUGUCUUGAUUUCCUAGAAGCAUCCCUGCACUUCUCUGGCUAUGAAAACACCCCCACGAUGUCCUGCACGUACAGACUCAUAUAUGCAGCACACACACCCACUAGAUGGCUGUUUUCUAGCUCUUUAUUUGAUUGAAUUGUUACCAGAGGGAGGUGACAUUUUCUCACAAAGCUUUUUCUACUGCAAAAUUCAGGCUUAAAGACACCAGACUGCUCAUAAAGUGUGUAUCAAACCCGCCUAUUUCAUCAGGUAGAGAAAGCAAAACAUUAGGAGAUAUUCUGGAAUAGCUGGAGAUACACCUAUAGAACCAGCAAAUGGAUAUAUGGGAUGGGUUGAAAAUGCCAGAACUGUUAGGUUGGGAUCUGUUUCUAAAGAAGAAAAAAGAGAGUAAAUCUUGGAAUGAAACCUGGAUGCUUUGUUCAAAGCCAGGCAGAUGUGUUCCAUCUGGGUAGGAGGAGGUAUUCAAAACAAGGCCUGAUUGUUUUCCAGCAGUUUCUAAAUUGCCAAAAAAAGCCAAAUCAGCAUUGGUUCUUACAGUCUGAUAUUCAAAUCCACCCUUAUUGUGCCUAAAACACAAAGUGGCCAUUGCUUGGCACUGGAGGGGCAUGCAGAGAUGUUUUAUAUAGUACAGCGAGCACAGAAUGGCACAUUGCCCUUCAGGGUCUGUUUCAUUAGAGCCAGAAGGAAAGGACAGUAAGUGAGGGUCGUGUUCCUAUUUGAAUCUAACAUUCCACCAAUGUCUUUGAUUGCAUCCAAGCAGAGGUGGGCAUUCUGCUGCGUUUUACUCUCCUGCUGUAAACAUGAAAUAUUACUUUUAAUAGAUCUUUUCCCCUCAGAAAAAGAGGCUGAACACGUGUAAUUAGAGCAACAGGCACGUGUCUGCGUUCAGGGAGACAUCCCCAUAAAGGCAGUUGGCAUUUGAGCAGUCUCGAGUUAAAUCUGAAGGCUGGAUCUAUCCAUCUCCUAUUUUAUCAUGAAUGCUAAUUGGAGUCUGAGGGCCCUUUGAUGGAAGCAACACGGCAAACACAGCGUGUACCACUUCCUCCAAUUUCCAGAAAGCAAUAGGCACGUGAAGUGGACGUUGGGUUUAAUUUAUACUGUGAGAAUCCCUCGCUGCACAAUGCCUCCGUUUCCAGAUAUUAUUAACAGAGCCGGAGCGUCCUUCCAUGUGUGCUGGUGGAAAGGAACGAUAAAUCAAGCAUGCUUCUGGGACGAUUGCAAAACCUCCGUGCAACUUGACUCACAGUCUAAAAAUGUGCUUGUGGAAUGGUUGUGGUUGCAUCACGUAGGUGCUGCAAAGCAAACACCGAUUUGGAGAACCUCCUCUCCCCAUCCUCACUUCCUUGCAGCACGUGGCCAUACGUUUUCUGCCCUCUCCAGGAGCUGCUGGAUACUGAAAGAGCAUCCCUGGGAUCGAUGGUCCUCUCCUUUCUGCUACCACAGCAGCAAGAAGGGAACUCGAACUGGGAUCAAAGAGGUUUGGUUCGGCUCCUGAGAAGAGAAUGAAGAAGGGAAGGGACAGGAGGAGCACAUCUGGAGGCUGGUGCAUGGCUGCGUGGCCUUCCCCUCCAGCGAGCAGCGUUUGGAGAGGAAAUUGCCUUGUGGAUAGCUGAUAUGGGUGUUUGCUCAGGGGGAGCGGUGCGCCCGGGCAGGGAAAGGAAAUUCCUGGAUGCCAAGUCAAAUAUAGGGAAAAGAAAGCAGAUUCUGCAAGAAUAACUAUAUGCUGGAGAGAGAAGUUGAGCAGCCAGUCGGUGGCCGGGCACUGGGUUUGGGCAUGUGGGUGAUGGUCCAAGGGUUGGCAUGCAGCACAUCCCAGUACACCAAUAUCCCAGAAUCCCCACAUCCCCAAUAACCCAACAUCCCAGCACCCCAACAUCCCAGCAUCCCAAUAUGCCAGCACUGCAGCAUUCCAGAGUCCCACUGCAGCCCUUGGGCUCCGCUCGCUGCCCAGCACUGCACUCGGGAACGCAGGCAUGGCCAUUCCAUGUGGCUGGCUCCAUUCUUUUCUGGUUUUUUCCAUUUUAGGAGCUAUCCUGCACCAGCUUCUUUAUCAGUAGUAAAGAAGAAAAAGAAAGGAAAAAGGCACAAAGUAAAAAAAAGCAAAGCAAAACAUAACCACAGCGUUUUCCGUGACCCUUCUCUGGCCUCUGCUUACACAAAAAAAUCCUGGCAUCCAUAAUGAUCAGGCCUUUGAUUGAACGACAUUUUAAUUCGGGAUAUAUUAAAACAGCAUGUUUUCAAAUGAGCGGUCCCAGAGCAGAAGGGGAAGAGCAGGCUCCCCAGAACCUCUCCAGCUUCAGAGUCACAAGCUGUGCCCCAGAUGCCAUCACGGCAGCUUUGAUAGGCAGGCCCCUUGAUUUAAAAUAGGGCAGGGGGGGGGGUUGGCUAAUUGAAACCAUUGUGUUAUGAUAACCAAAUGUCUUCUGCCUUUUGCAUCUCCCAUAGAUGGCAAUGCAUAUUGAAAAAGACAUAAUAAUGCCACGUCCGUUUUCAGGGAGAGAUCAAAGGCUCUCCUGGAAAGAGGAGCCCAGUUGUCCCCCCCAAUGCAUCUGGGCUGCAGACAGCCAGUGGUAAAGGCGACUUCAUUCAUCCGCGGGGCAGAGGAAUGCUGUCUGGGUGCUUUGAAAAGUGCAAGGGCUGGUGGAGGGAGGAAAAAGCUCUGUGUAUGGGAACAGGGUGGAUUUAUGGCCCUCAUGCUGCAAUGGGGUCCUGUGGCUUCACUGUGCAUUUUGGCACAGCUGGCGCUGCAUUACCCAGGAGGCUGAGAGUGGGCUGCAAUGGGAGCAGCAAUCACCCAAAGCAGAGUCAGUGGCACAGAACGACCAAACCCAGGGUGAGCAGCAUCCUUAGUUGCUGCCUGCAGAACGGUAGCCCCGAGCUUCCAAUACGCUCCAUGAAAGCAUCCUCAUGGGGGUUCAUUCUAUCACCCCGUCCACGGUUUCUGGGCAGCUCUGCCCUAUUUGGCUCCAGCUUGAAUUUGGACCAGAGCAGGUGGAUGGAGUGAAGCUGCCCCUGCAGCUGUGGGCAUCCUGCCUUGGUGCAUCAGGAUCAUUGUAGCAAAACGUGCACCUCAUGGGCUGCCCUGAUGUGUUGCUCUGCAGAACAUCUGCAGCUGCCAGCAGGGCUCAGGGUGCCUCCCAGGAUGUCAGGAUGCUGCUCCUGGAGGUACUGUGGAGGAAAAAGGGGCAGGUUUGGCUGAUUUUAGAAGGCAUCUAAUUGCACCAGAUGGUACGGGCAUGUUUAAUUCACCCUCCAGAGAGGCUGACCUGUGAGCCACCUAACGUGGCUUUAUUGCUUUUCCCUGCAUACCCAGCAAAUCUCUGAGUGCAAGAACUCUGCUUUGUUUGCAUGUACAAUGAGACACUGGGAAACACCUGCCCAUCGCUCAGCAGACGCUCAGCCCGCUUGCAAAUACAUUUUAAGCCAUAAUUAAAAUGACAUGCCAUCUUCUCCUCGUACUACACAAGCAGAAGUAUGGCGUAUGGCCUCCAGAAAUCCAGAAUAACUCAAAGCAGAACUGGUUUGUAUGCUUAAUCAGACUGUGUGCUGAAUGCAGAACAUAACAACAACAAAAAAAACCAAUUAAAAAAAACCCAAACAACCCCAAACCUUUAUUAAAUGCACAGCACUGAGUGGGGACUUCUGCUCAACGUUGAUUGAGACAUUGGAAAAUUCAGCCCUCGUGUUUCAUCAGCUGCACUGAAAUACUUCGGUGCAGAUGGACAGAGCCCAGAUGGCAACCUCGGCUGCGGAGCAUCUCUGCCCCAGCCAUAUGCUGCUCAGAAGGGGAAGGGAUGCAGGGUUUGCUUCGUAGCUUUGGGACUCGCUGGUGCCACGUGGAGCUCAGAGCUGCUCAUUUCCACCCAACCCGCGCUAUGGUGACACAGUGGGGACGUGGCACUGCUGUCCUGCAGUGGGAAAAAGGCAUGGCAGGGAGCCAGGGAUGCACACACUGCGGCUUUGUGGGGCCACUGAUUGAGGCAGAUAGCGAUGUAAUUGGGCCAACACACACUGUCAGGGGGAGGGCUGUUUGGUACUGUGGGUUGAGCACUUUCUGCAAGAACAGGAGGGCUUUCUUUUUGAGAACACGAGAGCUGAGCAAACACCUCCAGGAGAAGUCUGUAGAAGUUUGAAUCUUGUCUCAUCCCUGAGAUGCUGCUGUUUGCAUGCAUGAAUUGGCCUUCUUUCUUCCUUCCACAGCCUCGUGAGACAUUCCGUGGAAGGUGGCAAGCAUUGGAUGAGUAACAUUUCCCCAUAGUGCAUUAAUCAACGCCUGCUUGGCCAAGCAGCAGUCAGUGUGAGAGGAGGACGAGUUGGGCUCCCAGGCACACGGGGAACUGCUGAGACUCAGAUUGCACACAGCAGCACCACAGUGACAAAGCUGCCUUGGUUCAGCACCCAGGGGCACUGCCACAAUCCCAGCUCAGAGAUGGGAUGGGAGGUAUGGUGUGCAACUCGUUGCUGGUUCCAUGAGAGCUUCUCCAUGGCGCUCACACAGGGACAUAAAAUGUGAGGGGUGGCCUCUGUCCUCCUGGCACCGUGGUUCCCUGAGUGCAGCUCCCUUCCUUGAGCAGGAUCAGAGCAGGGCUUCGGAGGAUCCUACGCAGAGAGCAUCCUCCAAGGACGUGUUUUCAAAGGCUCUCCAUCUCCCAAAGGCUGAAUAAUCUCAAGAAAGGGCCCAGGAAGAAGUGAAAUCCUCUCCAGAACGGUCAUUUGCAAGAGUGUGUUUCCGUAACCUUGCAUUGUUACAGCAUCACAAGGAUUUGUCUCCUCUUCUGGCUUCAGCACACAUGUUCCUGGCUCCCAUGGAGGCACUGUGGACAGCCCAUGCCAUACAACGUGCCAGAAACAUGACCUCCCCAUGAACUUCGGGCCAUAUUUUCAAGUCUGCGCCCAGCUCCUUGCAGGCAGGGCUGUCUGGCCAGUGCAUUCUGGCCCUUUUGCAUGGAAAAUGAGCUGUGUCAGCCUUCGUGGCCCACUGGCUUGCCAGCUGCGUCCCUAACAGCACUUUGCAGCCUCCUCCCUCCGUGCUCAACAUGUUGCCUUCACCUGGCACAUGGGACAGCAACGAGGGGACUGUGAGCUUGUCCUCGGUGGCUGGGGCCCAGCUGGCCACCCCCAUCUCCCCACUGCAGCCACCGCACGCUCCUCGAUGCAGCAGAACUCAAUGUACAGCCCUUUUAUUUUUCCUCCUUGGUUUUCCUGUUCCCAGAACAGUUGAAUAUUUUACUUGCAUCGUGCCCCAGUUCCCCAGUUUCCAGCAGGCAGAACAGGGUGAUCUGUACCCAUCUCUUGCAGCAGCUGGUGCUUGUUCCCCUGGCAAAACUUCACUUUGGAGCUGAACCCAACAAUGCUGCUGACUCCAACUGAUUCUUUCUCCCCCAGCCUAAGGCACUUUAUGAUGAUAUUAAUAACCAGACACUGAGGUUCAGCACUAAGGAUUUCUUAAGCUUGCUGCUGGGGCUGUGAUUGAGCUUUGUAGCCAUCUCUGCUUCAUCCCAUGAUCCAUCAGGGUUGGUGGGGACACCCAGACCUCUUUUGGGAAGUCCCUCCACAGCUCCUCCCUCCCAUAGCACCCAUGGGGUCAGGGGCAGACCGGGUGCUCCCAGACCUCUUUCCUGUUCUGCCCUUAAUACAUCAAAGGGAGAUCUCUUGUUCGAUGGUUCUCUAUUAACCCUAUUCAUGAGUCUUUUAAUUAGUGUUGCCUUCUGCUAAGUAAUCGCUUCAGCCUUAGCUCCUCUGGGGCAAUGCAGAGCUGCAACAGGGCACUGCAGGAGCUGCAUGCUGCUGUUCUGCUUUCUGGACCUGCUCCUGCUGGCAACUAUGCCAUUCCUUUUGCACAGACCGCACAGUGCCAGAGCAGCCCACUAAAACUUGCAAAGAAAAGCAGAAAGAAGCAUCUGAAACCCCACCAGGAGCUGCGGCAGGUAGAGUUCUAUCCUUACAUCUGGGAAACCUCCAGCUCAGCUCAAUCCUGCUGAUGCACUGCUAAGGGGAGCUUUGUAGUGGCCCUAUUCAAAGCACUCAGCUCUGGGGGCAUGUUUCCCCCAGCACCCAGGAGCAAUGUUUCCUUUGUUAAUUCAGGGUCCCCACCAAUCUGCAUCACCCCAUGCCUGGAGGCAGAGCUGCCAUGGCUGCCUUUUAUCCCCUGCAUCCUCCGGCAGAGCUCACAAAGUGGUACUUUGUACCAGAGCAAGAAACAAGAGACGUGAGCUGUAAUACAGGAGAGAGAGAAAAAAAAACCCUCAUCUCACCCCUUGUGUUUUUCCUGGAAAUGUCACUGCCCUUAAUGCAUCAAAUAAUUAGAAUCACUUCUCCCCUUUUGUUUGCCUUGGCCCUCACUGCUCGCAUUGAGUGGGCCAACAUAAACCUGUGCGCACCACAGGAAUUUUGGGCACAGCCCAUUCUGCAGUGCUGGGUGCAGGGGGAGAAGUGGCUGCAGGAGCUUUGGUUCUGCUCCAUAUGUCUCUGCUGCUGUGGGCACUGCUGGGCACGGAGCUCCCGUAGAGAGGACCUCACUGCAACGCUAGUGCUCAACCAAGUGCUGGUCCCUAUGGAAAUCCACUGUCCUGGAGAGAAGCAGCAGCAGCUGAUGCCCAUUUAAUGCCAAAAUUGCAGAUUUGUGUUUGACCUGAGUGGUGGGUGUGAGCGUGAUGCUGGCGGGACAGAUGGGUGGAUAGCUCUCUGAAGUCCCAGUGGGAUGUUACGCUUGUUGCUCUGUAGUUGUAGCCUUCUCCUCUGGGUGCUGGGGAGUGCUCCGAGGUGACGUGGGAGAACAUAUCCCUUGUGAAUGCUGGAAAGCUGUGCUGGGUGAGGUGGCAUUGCACCACUAAUCCACGCACAGAGGAGCCCAGCACCCCCUCAGCACCCCUUACAGACACAGAUGGACACAGCCAGCAUCACAGCCCAGCUGGCUGCCUGCCCCCAGCACCGCUCCCAUGGGCUGCAUGUAUGUCAAUGGGUUAUUAAAGAAACGGAUGGGGGAUUAGCUGUGCUGUAGGUAGAGACCCCAUUCAGAUUUGCUAAGUUUCAGCAAGUAUGUUUUCAAUAAUUGGCUGGUAUUUGUAAGAAAUGAAUAAAACCUAGGCUACUAAAGUUGGUCCUUCUCUUAUUAUAAGGCAUUUAUUGCAUGCUUAGAAGCAUAUGUCUUCAAUAUCUGAAGCAAAGGAAAGUAAUACGUAAGGAUCCCUUCUUAAACACAAAUAUAUGCAGCCAUAAUCACAAUUAUUAGCCACCAUGAAAUAGCUAACAAACUGAAGAAGCCCCCUCAGCAGCAGCUUUACAACUGGGGGUGCAUAAGAAAUAAAGACAAAGGCGAGAAUUGCCCUCUUAGCUGUGCGAGACUCCACAAGGCAGAGGAAGGAUCAGCUCUGCUGAGGAGUGUUGGCAUCUCGGAGAAGGUUCACGGAUGAAGCCAAUGGAGAAGGGUGUGCAGGAGCGGGGCAGGGAAUUGGGAAGCAGCGCUGCUGCUGGUGGUUGUAUCCUUCUGAAGAAAGAACACUGGAAAACCAAAGCUACCUGUCACUGCUGCUGUUAUCGCAGAGGUAUUUGGGAGAGGGUGAGCGAAUGUUUCUGCAGAACUGCGUGCUGAUUUAUUGGUACGGAGGGAGGUGCAGCGGGGAAACCACUGUGCGGAUCAUUGGCGAGGAGGGGCACGUGGUUCUCCAAAGAUUUUUGUCUGAAAACGCAAUCAGCUGAAGUCAGCGCCGCGCUGAGGGUCUGAGCAGAGCUCAGUGCUGCUCAAGGAGGCACUUUCAUGUAAGAGGGAAGAAAUGGGCCCUGGCUCUGUGUAUAUCCCUGUUGGUCUUCUGAACACUUCGCGUUGCGUCUUCCUCCUCACUGCACCGCCCUGAAGCACAUACAGAAAAUGAUUGCUGAAAACGGGGCGUCCGCGAGUCACAAUGAGCGCAAUUAAACCAUGGAACGGAUUCCCCAGGGAUCUCACGCAUCCUUGGCUGCUUGGAGGAGCCUCAGGGCGGGCUGCAGCAGCUCCUUCCCUUUGGUGGAGCAGCGCUGUUCCUCCUGGGAUUUGCUCCAAACGGACAGCUCUGCUCUGCUCCAGCUGCUCGGUGGGUUUCUCUCCAGCACGUUGCUGGUUUGCACAUCGUUUCAAGCCUGCAGCUGUUAUCGGGCUGUUGGUUGGAGCGUUAUUCACUUCCAAUCCCUGCCUCAUUGCAGGGGGAGACCAUCCCUGGAGAUCCUCCCAUCUCCCAUCUCCAGGGCGCCGAUCCUCAGCCACUCUGAGCGCAAUGCAGACACCACACAGCUCAGCAGGUUUCAGUGCCUCUGCCACCAACUGCGACUCAAAUCCAAAGCGAUUUGGCUUUGUUUUGUUUCUAAGUUGCUGCUCGAGCUUUCUUGGCUCACAGGCAGAUUUUCUCUUCCAAGGUUUCAGUGGUGGAGGGCUGUUUCUCUAAUCCCCAAUAGUUUGAGAUUAUCUCCAGCCAACAAUUAAUCAGAAUCAGAAUUUUGCACUGCUUGCCUGUGCUGCCGCAUUGAGUGCAUGUAAAACCCUCUUUCCUCUGAAGAAAAGCAUGUUCUACUUUCCUAUGUUGCCUCCGGUCUCUUUAGCUGUCAGGGCACUCGGCAUCACACCAGGAUGCUGAAUAGGCCAAGGGAUGCCUUAAACAUACCACUCAAACAGGCAGAAAGUGGAUUCAGGAAGGCUCAACACGAGCUGAAAGCUCACUGUUUAGGAAGCAUCUCUGCUGGGGUGAGGGUUGGCUCUUAUGGGUUUGUGUUGCGGACUCAGCACUUGGGCAGCUUUGUUUUGGUGCAUGGAAUGCUCAGAGGCGUUCUCUGAGCGCUGUGUUUGGGUAAUAGCCAAAAAUGAACCCAGUUGGCUAAUGGAAAUGCAUCCUUCCUCCUGUGCUGGGACUGCGUUGCUCUGAGUGCGUUGGAAACAGCACCAGAAGUGAUGUCUGACUGCUGCAGAUCCCAAACCCUCAGUCAGGCACUGCUCUGUGGAUGAGCAAGAUGGGCACAGCUGGAUCUGCUCCUCAAGGAUCCGCUGCAGGUGUGUGACUGGGGAAUUUUUCCCAACCACUCAACCUUCUGACAGGGCUUCCAUCAGCUGGAGCUGCCUCUCCCUUCCAGCAUCUCUUCAGGCUGAAAAGAAAUCAUAUUUCCUGAAGCAACACCAAACAGGGAAGUGGUGCUGCUUUGUCAUGUCCAAUUUCAAGUAGCUCUUCUCCUUAAGCUGCUCACAAACAAGAGAGGAGGUUGUAACACACAGCUUCUUUCAGACACGAUUCUCUCCUGCUGAGCCCUGAUCUCUUGCUGUCUGCAGCUCUGUGCUCUAUAGAUGGCACACGAUGCCAGCUCUGCCUGGCAGCCACAAGCUGAUGGGAUUUGUAUUUGUCCCAUCACCCCAUGAGCUGUCACAGGGGUGGAUCCCACUCCCUCCUGGCACUUGCUGUCUGCUGAGGACUCCCGUGUUAUCACUGCUGUCAACUUCCAAGCUGCGUUUUAUAUGGGAAGGAAAGCUGCCAGGCUGCUCUGCGAGCCAGUAGGUAUUCUUGGAGACAAAACAUUCAGUCUGGACCCGGCGCUGGUGGUUAAGCUUUAUUUGGUUCUCAUUUCCUUGAGAACUGGAUGCUCCUCUCCAUCUGUCAGCUCACAAAGCUGGGUCAGGCCGGCUGCAUCCUCUGCUCCAAAGCAAGGACCCCAAAAGGGAUCAGCUCCCCUUGACAUCAACGGGUUCUGGAUUGGGCCCCAGGCAAAGGCUCUCAAGAACGUGCUGCAGUUUGGGAAGCGGAGAAGCUGCGGUUUAACAUGGGAAUAGUUGGAGCAAGAAAAAUGUUAUUACCAAAACUCAGCUUAAACCAAGAGUACCGCGAGGUCAAACGCUGCAGCCAGUCAGAAACACAGUGUUCUUGAGGAUUGUUAUACUGGAGUUACAGGAGACAAGGUGCUUUCGUGGUAAAUGGAAAACGCAGCUCGGCAGAGAGGAGGAAGCUGCAGCAAAUGCACUGCUGAUGUUAAGCUGCUGCCUCCCUGGGGCCAAGCAGCAGUGCAUGACUGGGAACGUCCCAUCCCUGGGUCAGCAGCUGGACACCUCCAAGGCAGGGACCCCCCAGCCCCUCUUAAAGCUCUCUUGAAUGAUCCCAUGCUGCAGAGAGUACUACUCUGUACAAACAUGUAUACAAAUGUAAGUACAUCCAUAUACUUGGCUGAGAUGUAUAAACUCUGCAAUGGACUUUGGAUGUAAGUGUGGUCUUUGCUGCUGGCUCACCGGAGAGGGUUCUCAGUUAAUCACGGCUCAGUGGUUGGGCUGGGUGAUCUUAUCCAAUCUUAAUGAAUCUAUGAUCCUAUGGAAAUAAAUUGUACCCAGCUUGUCCCUGCUGCUGUCCCCUCCAAAGGUGCCAGGUUGCUCCGUCACAGGCAACACCGGGAUGAGUCCCUGGGAUCGUACCAGCACUCGUAUUCGGUGUCAAGGAAGACAAUAUGGAAACUGUGCCAAAAGAGGCCUGAUCUAUCACAAAUGCCAUCUCAUCAUUUUCAGCUGCUUUGAACUUCCCAGUGACUUUUAUUUGUGCCUCCCUUUUCUUUCUGUGCCAGAACAGACUCACAUCUUGAAAAGCUCUUCUCCCCACGUAGCUGUUAUCCUGCAGCCCUCCCCAAAUCCCCCCAGCUGUGCCUCCUCUGCUCUGCCUUGCUGGGAUAAGCAAGGGAGGUUCUUUGUCUGCAGGUGAGUUGUCUGCUGGUCUUUUUUAGGGGAAAUUGGAGGGCUCCUUGCAGACACAGAGGGCCACAAAUGGGUGGACAGGGAGCUGCUAAACAAAGAGCUGGUGUGAAUUAGAAGAGAGAUAAAGAGCAAUGGACUUGAUAAGGAGUUGGACUUGAUGAUCCUUGUGUGUUCUUCCAACUUGGGAUAUUGUAUGAUUUUAUGAAAAGAACCAUUGGCCCACAUUGCAGCCAAACAGCCCAGGCAUGGAGCAGAAAACAGCUUGACAAAGGUCAUGCAAGGAGCAUCAGAACAAGUUUCAGAUGUAGUCCUUUAACCAGAUGGCUGCUGUCUUGUGAGCAGUGCUGCAGCACGAGCCGUCAUUGCUCCUGGGCCACGUUCUGUUCCCAAAUAAAGUGUAGGGUGGGUGGACAACCCUGUGGGUGACCUGGAGCUCUCCAGGUGGGAGGGCUGAGCUCCAGCAGCAUGGAUCCAAUAUGGAGCUCCUUUGGACGUGGGGACAGUGAGGAAGGCAGAGCAGACCAGAGGUGCCAGGGUGGCUCUGAAACCUUCUCCGAGGACAUGCUCCACCUUCACAUCUCACCUACGUCAGAAUGACCUCAUGUUCAUAACAGCAGGAAUUUCCAGCUGGCGCAGCCAAACCCUUUGCUGCUAAAUUAAAAUUUCUACCUCUCUCCGGAGAGUUAUUUCCCCUCCAUUCUUUUUAUUAAUAAAUUAAUAAUAAAGCAGUUUGCUGGAG
ensembl:lncRNA